CUUUAGGGAGCGGCCGAUGUCGGAUUAGCUAGUUGGUGAGGUAAAGGCUCACCAAGGCGACGAUCCGUAGCGGGUCUGAGAGGAUGAUCCGCCACACUGGGACUGAGACAACGGUCCCAGACUCCUACGGGAGGCAGCAGUGGGGAAUUUUGGACAAUGGGCGCAAGCCUGAUCCAGCCAGUGCCGCGUGAGUGAAGAAGGCCUUUCGGGGUUGUAAAGCUCUUUCGGUGGGGAAGAAGUUGCUUCGGUUAAUACCUGGAGUAGAUGACGGUACCCGCAUAAGAAGCACCGGCUAACUACGUG
rnacentral:rRNA from 1 species